GACGAACGCUGGCGGCGUGCUUAACACAUGCAAGUCGAACGGGUCUGCCCUGUUUUUUGCGGGGUGGGUCAGUGGCGAACGGGUGAGUAACACGUGAGUAACCUGCCCCUCACUUCUGGAUAACCGCUUGAAAGGGUGGCUAAUACGGGGUGUUCUGGCUGUGCCGCAUGGUGUGGCUGGGAAAGAUUCACUUUUGUGGUGUUUUGGUGGGGGAUGGGCUCGCGGCCUAUCAGCUUGUUGGUGGGGUGAUGGCCUGCCAAGGCUUUGACGGGUAGCCGGCGUGGGGGGUGGCGGGCUCCCCCUGGGAUGGGGUCCCGCCCCGCCUCCUGCGGGGGGGCGCCGGGGGGGGUGUUGGCCAAUGGGGGGGAGCCUGGUGCAGCGACGUCGCGUGAGGGAUGGGGGCCUUCGGGUUGUGAACCUCUUUCGCCGGUGAAGAAGGUCCUGCUCUUUGUGGUGGGGUUGACGGUAGCCGGGUUAUGAAGCGCCGGCUAACUACGUG
rnacentral:rRNA from 1 species